UGGGGAAUAUUGCGCAAUGGGGGCAACCCUGACGCAGCAACGCCGCGUGAUUGAAGACGGCCUUCGGGUUGUAAAGAUCUUUAAUCGGGGACGAAUUUUGACGGUACCCGAAGAAUAAGCUCCGGCUAACUACGUGCCAGCAGCCGCGGUAAUACGUAGGGAGCAAGCGUUAUCCGGAUUUACUGGGUGUAAAGGGCGUGUAGGCGGGCAUGCAAGCCAGAAGUGAAAUCUGGGGGCUUAACCCCCAAACUGCUUUUGGAACUGCGUGUCUUGAGUGAUGGAGAGGCAGGCGGAAUUCCCAGU
rnacentral:rRNA from 1 species